rnacentral:tRNA from 2 species
GCGCUCUUAGUAUAGUGGUCAUUAUGCCAGGUUGCCAACUUGGCGGCCCGGGUUCAAUUCCCGGAGGGCGCA